CUAGAUCUAAAUUAAAAAAAAAUAUGGUAGUGUUCAAAAGUUGUGAGAAAAACAAUUUAAAAUGAUUGACAUAGUGGUUACAGUUUUGUUUGCUAACACUUAAUACCAAUGCAUUAACGACAAAUACCCUGGUGACUUUAUAAACGUGCCCUGAGAUAGUGCUUUUAAAAAAGACAAGUUCGUGUAAGUUAGUAAUUUUGUGUUCUUCUUACACAAGAACGCUUUCAAUAUUGUAAUUCAGCACGCUUCUUAAACUGGACUUAAAUGUGAUUUAUUUAUUAAUUACGAUUAGCUUUGAACUAGCUUUCAGUUUAACUGUGAGUAAAUUACUCUUAUUUCAGUGUUUUGUGUCUAUUUCAUGUUGAAUAUGUGUUUGUUUUUCUGCCCCGUACCGAUCUUUUGACCUAACCAAAAACUGCAAUUGAUUUUUAUGGUUUGUUCUUGUGAUGUGCUGUCAAAGGUUAGGGAAGGGUUGAGAGCUUACAAACAUGUUUUCCCCGCAACAUUUGUUAUGUGUCUAACCUAUGUUAGGAGCUUUUAGGUCAGCGGUUGUCGUUGUUUCAUGUCUGUCAAAUUCGUUUUUCGUAAAUAAAUUGUUUUGUUAUAGUUAAGGCCGUAAGUUUUUCUCGUUUAAAUUAUUUAAAUUUGUUCAUGUUGGGCACUCUAAAUUGACUUAUAACCGAUUAUUCUGUUUGGAUUUUUUUCUCAUUGUUGAAAACCGUAGGGUUGUCUGUAUUUGCUAGAAUCACAUCAUAUUUGCAUAUUUGUACUCUGGUAGAUAUUUGUUCUAUUGGCAAUCAUGUAUAUAUAUAUACCACGUCGUCUUAUUUUCAUAUUGUGUGUUUGUUUAGCUAGAUGAGUAAAAUACUUAUAAUUUGAUAUGCCAGACGGACAUACGACUCAUCAGUGGCGCUCAAAUUCAAACAGUUUUAAAAAGAGCAUUCAAAAUGGAAAUUCGAAAAAGGUGUGAAAAAUACGGCUGAGGCUAUAUAUGAUUUUCGGUAGAAAAAAACCUCGAAUAAUUCAACGUUUGAUAAGUAGAAAAUGAACAUAUAUUAUGUGUACUGAUUGAUAUUUUUGUAUUAAUAUUUAGAUGCAUGCUUUGUUAUCAUUCGUUAUUGGCUUUGAUCUAGCUGUCAGUAACUGCGAGUUCUCUCAGAUAUGUACUUAGUGUCUUUUU
rnacentral:lncRNA from 1 species